AUUGAACGCUGGCGGCAUGCCUUACACAUGCAAGUCGAACGGCAGCACGGGUGCUUGCACCUGGUGGCGAGUGGCGAACGGGUGAGUAAUACAUCGGAACAUGUCCUGUAGUGGGGGAUAGCCCGGCGAAAGCCGGAUUAAUACCGCAUACGAUCUACGGGUGAAAGCGGGGGACCUUCGGGCCUCGCGCUAUAGGGUUGGCCGAUGGCUGAUUAGCUAGUUGGUGGGGUAAAGGCCUACCAAGGCGACGAUCAGUAGCUGGUCUGAGAGGACGACCAGCCACACUGGGACUGAGACACGGCCCAGACUCCUACGGGAGGCAGCAGUGGGGAAUUUUGGACAAUGGGCGAAAGCCUGAUCCAGCAAUGCCGCGUGUGUGAAGAAGGCCUUCGGGUUGUAAAGCACUUUUGUCCGGAAAGAAAUCCUUGGCCCUAAUACGGUCGGGGGAUGACGGUACCGGAAGAAUAAGCACCGGCUAACUACG
rnacentral:rRNA from 1 species